CCAGUGGCACUGAAGAGUGAAAUCCUCUCUUUAUCCACAGAACUUGGGCAGCAAACAGGGCAAGCUCCCUGCACGCUGCCCCAUCAGUGUGCCUGAACCCUGUUCUGGAGAGCUCACCCCUAGGGGUUGGGAAGAGCAAAGUUCAUUCUCCAAGCUCUUUCCGGUUUUCUCACAGAC
rnacentral:sRNA from 1 species